rnacentral:rRNA from 1 species
UUAAUCGAAGCAACGCGAAGAACCUUACCAGGUCUGACAUCCCUGACAACCCGAGAGAUCGGCGUUCCCCUUCGGGGGACAGGGUGACAGGUGGUGCAUGGUUGUCGUCAGCUCGUGUCGUGAGAUGUUGGGUUAAGUCCCGCAACGAGCGCAACCCUCGACCUUAGUUGCCAGCAUUCAGUUGGGCACUCUAAGGUGACUGCCGGCUAAAAGUCGGAGGAAGUGGGGAUGACGUCAAAUCAUCAUGCCCCUUAUGACCUGGGCUACACACGUGCUACAAUGGGCGGUACAAAGGGUCGCGAACCCGCGAGGGGGAGCCAAUCCCAAAAAGCCGCUCUCAGUUCGGAUUGCAGGCUGCAACUCGCCUGCAUGAAGCCGGAAUCGCUAGUAAUCGCGGAUCAGCAUGCCGCGGUGAAUACGUUCCCGGGCCUU